rnacentral:rRNA from 1 species
CAGCAGCCACGGUAAUACGAAGGGUGCAAGCGUUACUCGGAAUUACUGGGCGUAAAGCGUGCGUAGGUGGUGGUUUAAGUCCGUUGUGAAAGCCCUGGGCUCAACCUGGGAAUUGCAGUGGAUACUGGGUCACUAGAGUGUGGUAGAGGAUAGUGGAAUUUCCGGUGUAGCAGUGAAAUGCGUAGAGAUCGGAAGGAACAUCUGUGGCGAAGGCGACUAUCUGGGCCAACACUGACACUGAGGCACGAAAGCGUGGGGAGCAAACAGGAUUAGAUACCCGCGUAGUCCCUGUCUCUUAUAA